GACGAACGCUGGCGGCGUGCUUAACACAUGCAAGUCGAACGGAAAGGCCCUGCUUUUGUGGGGUGCUCGAGUGGCGAACGGGUGAGUAACACGUGAGUAACCUGCCCUUGACUUUGGGAUAACUUCAGGAAACUGGGGCUAAUACCGGAUAGGAGCUCCUGCUGCAUGGUGGGGGUUGGAAAGUUUCGGCGGUUGGGGAUGGACUCGCGGCUUAUCAGCUUGUUGGUGGGGUAGUGGCUUACCAAGGCUUUGACGGGUAGCCGGCCUGAGAGGGUGACCGGCCACAUUAGGACUGGGAUACGGCCCAGACUCCUACGGGAGGCAGCAGUGGGGAAUAUUGCACAAUGGGCGGAAGCCUGAUGCAGCAACGCCGCAUGCGGGAUAACGGCCUUCGGGUUGUAAACCGCUUUCGCCUGUGACGAAGCGUGAGUGACGGUAAUGGGUAAAGAAGCACCGGCUAACUACGUG
rnacentral:rRNA from 1 species